rnacentral:rRNA from 1 species
AUGAGCGAUGGGGUGACGCAGUAGGGUAGUGACGCGGACUGAUGGAUGUCCGUCUAAGCAGUGAGGCUGAUGUGUAGGCAAAUCCGCACAUCGUAAGGCUGGGCUGUGAUGGGGAGCGAAAAUUAUAGUAGCGAAGGUCAUGAUCUCAGACUGCCAAGAAAAGCCUCUAGCCAGGAGAAGGUGCCCGUACCGCAAACCGACACAGGUAGGCGAGAAGAGAAUUCUAAGGCGCGCGGAAGAACUCUCGUUAAGGAACUCGGCAAAAUGACCCCGUAACUUCGGGAGAAGGGGUGCCUCGGUAGGGUGAAUAGCCCGAGGGGGCCGCAGUGAAAAGGCCCAAGCGACUGUUUAGCAAAAACACAGGUCUGUGCGAAGCCGCAAGGCGAAGUAUACGGGCUGACGCCUGCCCGGUGCUGGAAGGUUAAGGGGAGUGGUAAGCCUUCGGGCGAAGCUAUGAACCGAAGCCCCAGUAAACGGCGGCCGUAACUAUAACGGUCCUAAGGUAGCGAAAUUCCUUGUCAGGUAAAUUCUGACCCGCACGAAUGGCGUAACGACUUGGGCGCUGUCUCAACGAGAGAUCCGGUGAAAUUUUAAUACCUGUGAAGAUGCAGGUUACCCGCGACAAGACGGAAAGACCCCAUGGAGCUUUACUGCAGCUUGAUAUUGAAUUUGGGUACGAUCUGUACAGGAUAGGUGGGAGCCGU